CAGAAACCAUAUCGGAGAUGAUGAGCGUUACACCAAAGCCUGUGAAUCUGGCAUGGAUUAUGUUUAUAAAGUCAAAGUGGUAGGGAUGGAUCUGAAAAAAGAAUCUGACAUCUAUGACUUGAAGGUGGAGGAGGUGCUAAAACAAGGCACUGAUAAGGAUGUUGAGGGGAAAGUGAGAAAAUUUCUGGCUCGUCCCAGUUGCAGAAAUUAUUUAGGACUGGUAAAAGACAAGUCGUACCUCAUCAUGGGCAAAUCUGUUGACCUGCCAUUGCUCG